rnacentral:rRNA from 1 species
UAUAGCCUGGUUUUCUGCGAAAUCUGUUUUAGCAAAUUAUUUAUUUUAUUAUUAGUAGGUAUAGCACUGAAUAUUUUUUUUUUCAAUAGAGGGAGUAUUAAUUUACUUAUCUAGAAUAUUUAAUCUCAAAAUGGCUAAUAAGUUAGGUAAAUAAUCGGACUUUUUGCGAUAAGGUAUAAAGUCUAAAGGGAAACAGCCCAAAACAGUAAAAAAAAAAGUAGGGCUCCCCAAUUAUUAUUAAGGUGAAAAUUCCAAGGUAAUUAUUUUUUGAC